rnacentral:misc_RNA from 1 species
GAGCAGAGUUCACUCGUCCGUCCUCCCUGACAUAACGCCAACCUACCCCCACAGAAAAAGAUGUUACAUGUACUUGGAAGACUUGCUUCAGUGAUUUUUCUCGCGACCUGCGUGACCUCAGAUGACCCCGCCCUAUACACGUGUCAACCGGGGACCACCCCUCAGGGUGUCACACCUGCACCAAAUCCGCCACCUAUGCCGACAUUGUCCGGUGUGACGGCAUUCUCCACUAAAAUAGAGGCCAUUAUUGGGGAAACUACUUCCACUGUGUCUGCAGAGGAGUACUACGACAGUGCCAACAAAAAGGCGGCCAUCUUCGUGUUGAUUUCAGGGGAACAGUUCAAAAUCAUAUACGACUACGACACAAACGAAAUUUUUUACGUUAACCCUGACCAGACCUGUUAUACUAAAAACCUCACCACGGACAGCAAUAACGUGUUCUUUGGAACCACUGUCUCCAACAAGUUCCAUGUCUUCAACACUUUGGACGCAUUGCAGUUUGCAGUCAACAAAGGCCAAACAUACAUGGGGACGAAGGUAACGCGCGGUAUCCUAUGUGACUACUGGCGAUCAUGCAUCAACUGGCCUGAGCUUAACUCAACCUUCACCAUGGACUACUACUUCUCAGUCUCUAAUUGGGUAACUCCCUCUGGCAUUUCCCAAGUUCCGGUCCGGGCGGAAGUGUUCGGUUACAGAACGAUGGCUGGCGGAGCCAAACACAAAUUCCACCACAUUUACGACUAUUCCGAAUUCCAGGCACAACCUCCGCUUGAUCAAACUGUAUUUGAAACUCCAUCUAUGGUUGUGUGCACCAACAGGAAGCAGGUGCGCUCUCUACCUCAACUCACAAAGGCUUUCCUUUACAGAGAAGAAAUAGUUCCAAAAUCAGGCACCUCCACCACGGCUGACGUCUGGUAUGACAACAACUUGAGGCUGGUGAGGUACGACUUUCGGCCACCUUCCCCACAGCCCCCGUAUUACAAUACUGACGCUGUCACCGAAAUCCAUGACUUUAACACAGGUGUCGCCUAUGCCAUCGACCGCAUCAUGGCCAACUGUAGCAUCAUCCCCAUCAUGAACGCCUCUUUUGACACGUCUAUCAACGUCAGUGUAGCGGCCAAUAAGCAGCAGUUCGUCAUCAAGAUGAAGAGUCCCCAGGACCUAUUCUACAUCGAUAAUAACUACACCUAUGCCGGACAGAGAUACGCCCGCGGAGAGCAGUGUGAUGUAUUCAUCCGCCAGAGGUCGGACUUCAUGUUGGGUGGUCACGCGAUCAACGCCACACUGGAGUUUUAUUUUCUCUCGAGUAACCAGAUGCAGAUAAACAAUGAUGGAAAUACUGUCUCUCAAGCUGCCGACAUCCCUGUCCAACUAAAUGUCAACGUACCCAGCAUACCAUACACUGUAACAUACAGUAUUUACAACUACGAUCCCGAGGAACCGGCCAUUACCAGUUAUGACAUCAGCAAUUGUUACUCGAUUGAAAAUAAAAUGGGUUUCAAGAUAACAUUUUACGGCUCUUUUGACAGUAAAGUUAUGGCAUACAAGGACAUUUUCCUGUAUCAGUCCAUUUCACUGGCAGCCAGUAUAUCCGGAGUAACUCCCCUUAGAAUCACCAAACCCAGCUUCUACAUGGACUCUGGCAAUGGGUACUUCGUUGCCACUCUACUAGACAGAGCACCAAUACUUCAACGUUUCCAGAAACUUCCAGGAAAGGUAGUACAGUUCAACAAUGACGCCGUCAUUCGGAAUAUAAAGACGGCCGACAUGUGCGCCUACCUGUGUAACGGAAACGUCAACUUCACGUGCAACAGCUUUGAGUACUGUCCCUCCUCCAAAGUCUGCACCCUCAGUAAAAUCCACACUGACGAUGGCAACGUGGUCAGCUCCACCCAGCAGUGUGAUCUUUACGACCGUUCUCUGGGAAGCAACUCCUUUGUGGAGGUCCCCCUGACUGACGCCUGGCAGAAUCUCAGGAAUGGGGUCAUUAAGCAGCUCUUCCAAAUCAGCAUCAAGUACGACAAGAAUACACAGACGUAUACAGCUCAGGACAUCGUGAAUGACGUCGUUGAUAGUGGGGACCUCCCUCCCGCGUCAGUGAAAACCUUACAAAGCUUUAAGAGUAUGCCCAAUAAGUACGUCCCUAACUUUGACGACAACAUCCUGACCGGGCUGUCCAUUGACGACUGUGCCUCGGCGUGCGUCACCCAGACGUCCUUUGUCUGUCAGUCCUUUGAAUAUCAGCUGAUUCAGGGCACCUGCGUCCUCUCUCACCUCCACCCUGACGAACAUCCGGGUGCCAUCAAGGGCAUAUCGGGAACAGACUUGUAUAUACGGGAUUACACCAGUAAGUUUACCAAGCUCCCCGGCCAGACGGUUCUCUCCUCCUCCAGCGUCAUCUACCAGCAGGUGUUCGACACCAACCAAUGCGCCAAGCUGUGUGACAACUACCAGGCCUACAACUGUAAAUCCUUCGACUUCUGCUUCGACAUUGGAACCUGCUUUCUGGGCAAAACACACGUUUUUGAUGUACCUAAAGCCGAUGUUAUAUCAAAUCCCAUGUGUAACCAUUACUCUAGAAAUUACAUUGACGAUUUCACAAUGACAGCGAGUCGUACUAUCCAACUUGUGAACGACAGAAUAGUAUCCGGAGUGACGUUGGCUCAGUGUGCUAAGAACUGUGUCGAUAUGGAGGCCGGAAGUUGCGCCUCGUUUUCAUACUGUGAUGGGCAGUCCCUGUGCCGUCUCAGCACAGCUUCAAUGAAGAAUGUCGGUCAGGUGUCGGCGACGCCGAGCGCCACCUGCAAUCUAUACACAAGGCAGUAUUUCCCCGAUGGUACGGGAUACGUAGCCUAACCCCCAGCAGUACUUCAUGAACACCCAAACAACCAAGAAAAUCCCCACAAGUUCUGUUGCUGGAAUAGCUGUUGCUAUGCUAAUUGUUGGAGUACUCCUAACAGCUAUCGGAAUAUUUGUUUACCUCAGAAAGACCAACAAAAGAAUACAAGACAUCAGGCUACCUUCGCGUAAUUGACCUCACGCGGUCGACGUCAUUCAUCUCACGAGAACAAAAAAGACGCACGUGGUUACACACUCGCUAAUUCACUUUUUUGUUUUAAUAUUUGUCAUUUUUUAAAAGAUAUUUUGUAAUACUCGAGCCAAAUGUUGUUUAUCUUUACUCAGAGACUUCUGUGCUGUUUGAAUAUGUAUGAACUGUGUAUAUGUGGUUUAUAUUUGUACAAAAUAUUUAUCUAAUUUGAUGGUAUAUGUAUUACAAGGAUAAAAACGUUUCCAUGUCCGC